GUUCUUAUAGUUGAAAUACAACGAUGAUUUUUCAUGUCAUUAGUCAUGGUUAA
rnacentral:tRNA from 1 species